ACUCCUACGAGAGGCAGCAGUGGGGAAUCUUGCGCAAUGGGCGAAAGCCUGACGCAGCGACGCCGCGUGAGUGAUGAAGGCCCUCGGGUUGUAAAGCUCUGUGGAGGGGGACGAAUAAGUGUCGUCGAAUAGACGGCAUGAUGACGGUACCCCUUUAGCAAGCACCGGCUAACUCUGUGCCAGCAGCCGCGGUAAGACAGAGGGUGCAAACGUUGUUCGGAAUUACUGGGCGUAAAGCGCGUGUAGGCUGCUCGGAAAGUCGGAUGUGAAAGCCCUGGGCUCAACCCAGGGAGAGCAUUCGAAACUCCCGAGCUCGAGUACCGGAGAGGAAGGCGGAAUUCUCGGUGUAGAGGUGAAAUUCGUAGAUAUCGAGAGGAACACCUGUGGCGAAGGCGGCCUUCUGGACGGUUACUGACGYUGAGACGCGAAAGCGUGGGGAGCAAACAGGAUUAGAUACCCUGGUAGUCCACGCCGUAAACGAUGGGUGCUAGGUGUCGCGGGAUUUGACCCCUGCGGUGCCGUAGCUAACGCAUUAAGCACCCCGCCUGGGGAGUACGGCCGCAAGGCUAAAMCUCAAAUGAAUUGACGG
rnacentral:rRNA from 1 species